rnacentral:rRNA from 1 species
CCUACGGGUGGCAGCAGUGGGGAAUAUUGGGCAAUGGAGGCAACUCUGACCCAGCAACGCCGCGUGAAUGAUGAAGGUCUUCGGAUUGUAAAGCCCUGUGAUGGGGGAUGAACACAACGACGGUACUCCAAUAGCAAGCCACGGCGAACUACGUGCCAGCAGUCGCGGUAAUACGGAGGCGGCAAGCGUUAACCGGAAUGACUGGGCGUAAAGGGUGCGGAGGUGGGUUAGUAAGUUGGCGGUGUAAUUCAAGGGGCUAACCCCCGCGCUGCCGCUAAAACUAGUAGACUAGAGUGCAGGAGAGGUAAGUGGAAUUCCUGGUGUAGCGGUGAAAUGCGUAGAUAUUAGGAGGAACAUCAGGGGCGAAGGCGACUUACUGGACUGUAACUGACGCUGAGGCACGAAAGCGUGGGGAGCAAACAGGAUUAGAUACCCGGGUAGUC